rnacentral:rRNA from 1 species
UACGGAGGGUGCGAGCGUUGUCCGGAAUCAUUGGGCGUAAAGGGCGCGUAGGUGGCCCGGUCAGUUCGUGGUGAAAGCGCGGGGCUCAACCCUGCGUCGGCCAUGAAUACUGCCGCGGCUGGAGCACUGUAGAGGCAGGCGGAAUUCCGGGUGUAGCGGUGGAAUGCGUAGAGAUCCGGAAGAACACCGGUGGCGAAGGCGGCGCUCUGGACCGGGACUGACGCUGAGGCGCGAAAGCGUGGGGAGCAAACAGG